rnacentral:rRNA from 1 species
CCGCCUUGGGGAGUCGGCCGCAAGGUAAAACUCAAAGGAAUUGACGGGGACCCGCACAAGCGGUGGAGCAUGUGGUUUAAUUCGAUGCAACGCGAAGAACCUUACCUGGUCUUGACAUACAGAGAACUUUCUAGAGAUAGAUUGGUGCCUUCGGGAACUCUGAUACAGGUGCUGCAUGGCUGUCGUCAGCUCGUGUCGUGAGAUGUUGGGUUAAGUCCCCGUAACGAGCGCAACCCUUAUCCUUAUUUGCCAGCACAUCAUGGUGGGAACUAUAGGGAGACUGCCGGUGAUAAACCGGAGGAAGGCGGGGACGACGUCAAGUCAUCAUGGCCCUUACGACCAGGGCUACACACGUGCUACAAUGGGAAGGACAAAGGGUUGCUAAGCCGCGAGGUGGUGCUAAUCUCAUAAACCUUUUCGUAGUCCGGAUCGGAGUCUGCAACUCGACUCCGUGAAGUCGGAAUCGCUAGUAAUCGUGGAUCAGAACGCCACGGUGAAUACGUUCCCGGGUCUUGUACACACCGCCCGUCAUAU